GUUCGGUAAACAGGAAGUUGUCAAGUGAUGAAUCUGAAAACGCAUCACACGGUAUGGCUAACAGAUAUAAAUGUUGAUACCAAAUUACAGAAAGGGUGGAUGUGUAGUUCCUGAGAAAAAUGUGACGAAAAUUUUUAACUUGGCUAUUAUGUGUAAAAUCAUACAAGUGUUCGGUAAACAGGAAGUUGUCAAGUGAUGAAUCUGAAAACGCAUCACACGGUAUGGCUAACAUAUAUAAAUGUUGAUACCAAAUUACAGAAAGGGUGGAUGUGUAGUUCCUGAGAAAAAUGUGACGAAAGUUUCAUGGGACGGACUGACUGACGGACGGACUGACGGACGGACUGAUGGACGGACUGACGGACUGACGGACGGACAGACAGAGGUAAAACAGUAUACCCCCCCUUUUUUAAAGCGGGGGUAUAAAAACUACUUAAUAUGCAUCAACCAUGUCAACUGGAAUUUAAAAUGACUGAAAAUAUCAC
rnacentral:lncRNA from 1 species